CAUUAGGGAAUCUUCCACAAUGGACGCAAGUCUGAUGGAGCAACGCCGCGUGAGUGAAGAAGGGUUUCGGCUCGUAAAGCUCUGUUGUUAAAGAAGAACGUGGGUAAGAGUAACUGUUUACCCAGUGACGGUAUUUAACCAGAAAGCCACGGCUAACUACGUGCCAG
rnacentral:rRNA from 1 species